rnacentral:rRNA from 1 species
GUGGGGAAUAUUGGACAAUGGGCGCAAGCCUGAUCCAGCCAUGCCGCGUGAGUGAUGAAGGCCUUAGGGUUGUAAAGCUCUUUCAGUAGGGAAGAUAAUGACGGUACCUACAGAAGAAGCCCCGGCUAACUUCGUGCCAGCAGCCGCGGUAAUACGAAGGGGGCUAGCGUUGCUCGGAUUUACUGGGCGUAAAGCGCACGUAGGCGGAUUGGUCAGUUAGAGGUGAAAUCCCGAAGCUCAACUUCGGAACUGCCUUUAAUACUGCCAGUCUCGAGUCCGGAAGAGGUGAGUGGAACUCCUAGUGUAGAGGUGGAAUUCGUAGAUAUUAGGAAGAACACCAGUGGCGAAGGCGGCUCACUGGUCCGGUACUGACGCUGAGGUGCGAAAGCGUGGGGAGCAAACAGGAUUAGAAACCCGAGUAGUCC